rnacentral:rRNA from 1 species
UUGGUUAAGUUAGAAAGGGCGCACGGUGGAUGCCUUGGCACUAGGAGCCGAAGAAGGACGGGACUAACACCGAUAUGCUUUGGGGAGCUGUACGUAAGCGUUGAUCCAGAGAUUUCCGAAUGGGGGAACCCACUAUCUUUAGUCGGAUAGUAUCCUUACGUGAAUACAUAGCGUGAGGAAGGCAGACCCAGGGAACUGAAACAUCUAAGUACCUGGAGGAAGAGAAAGAAAAAUCGAUUUCCUGAGUAGCGGCGAGCGAAACGGAAAGAGCCCAAACCAAGAAGCUUGCUUCUUGGGGUUGUAGGACACUCUAUACGGAGUUACAAAAGAAAGUUAUAAAUGAAGCGGUCUGGAAAGGCCCGCCAAAGACGGUAACAGCCCGGUAGUUGAAAUAGCUUUCCCUCCAGAGUGGAUCCUGAGUACGGCGGAACACGUGAAAUUCCGUCGGAAUCCGGGAGGACCAUCUCCCAAGGCUAAAUACUCCCUAGUGACCGAUAGUGAACCAGUACCGUGAGGGAAAGGUGAAAAGCACCCCGGAAGGGGAGUGAAACAGUUCCUGAAACCGUGUGCCUACAAGUAGUUAGAGCCCGUUAAUGGGUGAUAGCGUGCCUUUUGUAGAAUGAACCGGCGAGUUACGAUUUGUUGCAAGGUUAAGCGGAAAAAGCGGAGCCGUAGCGAAAGCGAGUCUGAAUAGGGCGCAUAAGUAACAGGUCGUAGACCCGAAACCAGGUGAUCUACCCAUGUCCAGGAUGAAGGUAAGGUAAUACUUACUGGAGGUCCGAACCCACGCACGUUGAAAAGUGCGGGGAUGAGGUGUGGGUAGCGGAGAAAUUCCAAUCGAACUUGGAGAUAGCUGGUUCUCUCCGAAAUAGCUUUAGGGCUAGCCUCGAGGUAAAGAGUCAUGGAGGUAGAGCACUGUUUGGACUAGGGGCCCUUCUCGGGUUACCGAAUUCAGAUAAACUCCGAAUGCCAUGUACUUAUACUCGGGAGUCAGACUGCGAGUGAUAAGAUCCGUAGUCGAAAGGGAAACAGCCCAGACCACCAGUUAAGGUCCCCAAAUAUAUGUUAAGUGGAAAAGGAUGUGGGGUUGCUUAGACAACCAGGAUGUUGGCUUAGAAGCAGCCACCAUUGAAAGAGUGCGUAAUAGCUCACUGGUCGAGUGACCCCGCGCCGAAAAUGUACCGGGGCUAAACAUAUUACCGAAACUGUGGAUGAACCUCUUUGGAGGUUCGUGGUAGGAGAGCGUUCUAAGGGCGGUGAAGUCAGACCGGAAGGACUGGUGGAGCGCUUAGAAGUGAGAAUGCCGGUAUGAGUAGCGAAAGAAGGGUGAGAAUCCCUUCCACCGAAUAUCUAAGGUUUCCUGAGGAAGGCUCGUCCGCUCAGGGUUAGUCGGGACCUAAGCCGAGGCCGAUAGGCGUAGGCGAUGGACAACAGGUAGAGAUUCCUGUACCAGUGCUAAUUGUUUAACCGAUGGGGUGACACAGAAGGAUAGGGAAUCGCACGAAUGGAAAUGUGCGUCCAAGCAGUGAGUGUGAGAAGUAGGCAAAUCCGCUUCUCGCGAAGCAUGAGCUGUGAUGGGGAAGGAAAU